AUAAGUCUAAGCGAGAGCGCGUUAGAGCUUAUCUAUAUGAGGCAGCUUAGACAUAGUUAUGUUGUUUUAGACUUGUGUUUUGGGCAUGUGUGCCAAUGAUGAGACUAUAUACACUCUUGUUUAGUUUUCGGAUGUUUUGAUAUUACUUGACGAUUAUAUCUAUGUAGUUUAGUUCUUUUGGUUAGCCUGUGCAUCUAGGCCGUGUUUUCUCUUACAUAGAUGUGGCAUGAUACCCCUUUAGGUUAUAAAUCGCUUCCACUAUGUAUGUUUGAUAGUUGAGAUAGGCAGCUUUUGCGUUAAAGUUUAGCUAUCUCGGCUUGUAAAAAGUUGGGGUGUCACAGUGGUGGCGUGAAUAGACUCCUCCACCUUCCUUUCUUCUUUCUCGUCGAAGCAUUGGCAUGCCUGGGCAAGAACGGCGGUGGUGAUGCUCUCCUCUCGGCCUCCGGCGAGCUAGUGUCGGCGUGGACUAGUUAGUGGUGGCGAGAUUAAGAGUAACGUUCGUAUUGUUCUGGCCUUAGCAGGUUCAUGAUUAUGGACUUACUUAUGAGAUGAGCUUAGAGUUGGUGAUUGCUAUUGGAUUAAUGAGCUACAAGAGGAGGGAGUUGUUCUUGCGGAAGAUAGUGGCGGUAUAAUGUGUCCCGCCAAUCCCUUCCUCAUGAACAUAGCGGUGUAGUGCGGCGGUGAGGUGCGAUCCGUGGAUCCCCUCCGUUGCCUUCGUGCGGAUCAGAGUGGUGGACCGUGGCAUUCCGCCAGUCCGUUCUGUUAGUUCAAUCCUGGUUCUCAUCCAGUAUCUGUUUUGUGGUCUAUGGGCUCUGUUGAUUCAUCUCUGAUUCUGGAAUGUCUCCUGAACACAUUGUAUGGAGUAGUCUGAGCCGAGAGCACGAUAGAGAUAGUUCUUCUAUUUGCUAUGCUUAGACUAGUACUUGUUUUAGACAUUUGGGCACAUGUGCCUUAGUAUGGAUUAUGUAUUGACCGUUACAACUGUCUUUAUGUUUUGGGAUUGAUGUUUUAUGGAUUUUAGCCUGUGCAUCUAGAGUUGGCUUAAUCUAGAUGUGGCAUGGCACCCAUUAAGUUUUAAAUGCUUCCGCUA